rnacentral:rRNA from 1 species
AAUAGAUACCCCGGUAGUCCACGCCGUAAACGAUGAGUGCUAGGUGUUGCGGGUAUCGACCCCUGCAGUGCCGUAGUUAACACAAUAAGCACUCCGCCUGGGGAGUACGGUCGCAAGACUGAAACUCAAAGGAAUUGACGGGGGCCCGCACAAGCGGUGGAGUAUGUGGUUUAAUUCGACGCAACGCGAAGAACCUUACCAGGGCUUGACAUCCUCUGAAAAGUAUAGAGAUAUACUCCUUAUCCUUCGGGAUAACAGAGAGACAGGUGGUGCAUGGUUGUCGUCAGCUCGUGUCGUGAGAUGUUGGGUUAAGUCCCGCAACGAGCGCAACCCCUAACAUUAGUUGCCAGCGCGUAAGGGCGGGAACUCUAAUGUGACUGCCGUUGACAAAACGGAGGAAGGUGGGGAUGACGUCAAAUCAUCAUGCCCCUUAUGUCCUGGGCUACACACGUACUACAAUGGCCGGUACAGACGGAAGCGAAGCUGUGAAGCGGAGCAAAACUGAGAAAAGCCGUCGUCCGUAGGUUCGUAGUUGUAGUCUGACUAACG